ACUGCUCAGUAACACGUGGACAACCUACCCUCAGCACGGGGAUAAACCCGGGAAACUGGGUAUAAUACCCGAUAGUUCUGGGAAGCUGGAAUGCUCCCAUGACGAAAGCUCCGGCGACUGAGGAUGGGUCUGCGGCCUAUCAGGUAGUAGUGGGUGUAAUGUACCUACUAGCCUACGACGGGUACGGGUCGUGAGAGCGAGAGCCUGGAGAUGGAUUCUGAGACACGAAUCCAGGCCCUACGGGGUGCAGCAGGCGCGAAAACUUUACAAUGCUGGCAACAGCGAUAAGGGGACCUCGAGUGCCAGGAUACAAUCUUGGCUGUCGCGAUGCCUAAAAAGCAUUGCAUAGCAAGGGCCGGGCAAGACCGGUGCCAGCCGCCGCGGUAACACCGGCAGCUCGAGUGGUAACCGCUAUUAUUGGGUCUAAAGGGUCUGUAGCCGGCCGGAUAAGUCUCUUGAGAAAUCCAGCAGCUCAACUGUUGGGCUUUCAGGAGAUACUGUUCGGCUCGAGACCGGGAGAGGUGAGAGGUACUUCAGGGGUAGGGGUGAAAUCUUGUAAUCCUUGAAGGACCACCAGUGGCGAAGGCGUCUCACCAGAACGGAUCUGACGGCAAGGGACGAAAGCUAGGGGCACGAACCGGAUUAGAUACCCGGGUAGUCCUAGCCGUAAACGAUACUCGCUAGGUGUCAGCCACGGUGCGACCGUGGUUGGUGCCGUAGGGAAGCCGUGAAGCGAGCCACCUGGGAAGUACGGCCGCAAGGCUGAAACUUAAAGGAAUUGGCGGGGGAG
rnacentral:rRNA from 1 species